CCUUGCUAAAUUGCAUAUAUAUACUGUUUACUACCAUAUCAUAUGUGCUUCAGGUCUGGCAAACACCAUGCGAGAACAAGGGAGAAAAUGAAUUCCUCUGAUAAAGGCAAAACCAUGAAAGUAAAAGGAAUUGGAUGGUCUGAGAAAAUGCUUUUAAGGUAACUAGACAACACCAAAUCAGGCAUUUGGAAAAUAGUAAAGUCUUCAGGCAGGAGCAUACAACUGUCUAGUAUGGUGUCACAAGGAGAGCAUAAAA
rnacentral:lncRNA from 1 species